CAACAUCACAGUAAGAUUGAGUGUCUCAGCCCAGACAAUGGGCCCCUGCCUCCAGGAGUGUGCGACUGAAAUAAAUCCACUGACUUGAGCAGCCGCGCUCCAUCGCGACCGAGAGCCGAGGCUGGUUUCCCACACACAAACGUCCAUGGAGCAUGAGCCAGGGAAGAGCAUACAGCGGUGAAUCUCUGAGCUGCCUGCGGAGAUGAGCUCCGGUGCCUGCCUGUAGUUUCCACUUUGGGAUCGCUGGACAGAGAAGUGGCAUUUC
rnacentral:lncRNA from 1 species